rnacentral:rRNA from 1 species
GGGGAAUAUUGGACAAUGGGCGCAAGCCUGAUCCAGCCAUGCCGCGUGAGUGAUGAAGGCUUUAGGGUUGUAAAGCUCUUUCGCCGAUGAAGAUAUUGACGGUAGUCGGAGAAGAAGCCCCGGCUAACUUCGUGCCAGCAGCCGCGGUAAUACGAAGGGGGCUAGCGUUGUUCGGAAUUACUGGGCGUAAAGCGAGCGUAGGUUGCUCGAUAAGUCAGUGGUGAAAGCCCAAGGCUCAACCUUGGAACUGCCAUUGAAACUGUCGAGCUGGAAUCUCAGAGGGGGUAGCGGAAUUCCAAAUGUAGGGGUGAAAUCCGUAGAUAUUUGGAGGAACACCGGUGGCGAAGGCGGCUACCUGGAUGAGUAUUGACACUGAGGCUCGAAAGCGUGGGGAUCAAAC